UAGGGAAUCUUCCGCAAUGGGCGAAAGCCUGACGGAGCAACGCCGCGUGAGUGAUGAAGGUCUUCGGAUCGUAAAACUCUGUUAUUAGGGAAGAACAAAUGUGUAAGUAACUAUGCACAUCUUGACGGUACCUAAUCAGAAAGCCACGGCUAACUACGUGCCAGCAGCCGCGGUAAUACGUAGGUGGCAAGCGUUAUCCGGAAUUAUUGGGCGUAAAGCGCGCGUAGGCGGUUUUUUAAGUCUGAUGUGAAAGCCCACGGCUCAACCGUGGAGGGUCAUUGGAAACUGGAGAACUUGAGUGCAGAAGAGGAAAGUGGAAUUCCAUGUGUAGCGGUGAAAUGCGCAGAGAUAUGGAGGAACACCAGUGGCGAAGGCGACUUUCUGGUCUGUAACUGACGCUGAUGUGCGAAAGCGUGGGGAUCAAACAGG
rnacentral:rRNA from 1 species